rnacentral:rRNA from 1 species
UACGGGGGGGGCAAGCGUUGUUCGGAAUUACUGGGCGUAAAGGGUUUGUAGGUGGCCCGCUAAGUCACACGUGAAAUCCCUCAGCUUAACUGGGGAACUGCGUGUGAGACUGGCAGGCUCGAGGGCAGGAGAGGAACGCGGAAUUCCAGGUGUAGCGGUGAAAUGCGUAGAUAUCAAGAGGAACACCUGAGGUGAAGACGGGUUGCUAGGCUGACACUGACGCUGAGGCGCGAAAGCCAGGGGAGCAAACGGG